GGCUUUUAGAUUAAACUCUUGACUCUGAAGGAAGCAUUAAGUAUGUUCUUCUAAGGAGGGAGCUGGUGCCCUGUAGUUUAAUGAGAGCCCAUUCCUCCCAAAGGGAAGAUGUGGGUGAGCUCUUGCAGUAGAAGGACUUUUUCCAUUGAAGGAAUAUUUCUGUUGUUACUAGGAUGAAGCUGUCCAGCUCUUCUGUUCAUUGCAAAUCAAGAAUGAGUAAGACACUCUGCUCUAAAGUGGUUGUGAUGCAUAUUUUGAGUGGCAGAAGUACCUGGUGAAAGAGGACAAAGAUUGAUUUAGGAACCAUUUAAGAA
rnacentral:lncRNA from 1 species